UUGUUUAAGUAUUUAGUGAAUGAAACCAACAAACCAGAAAGUGAAAUCCAGUGUGAUUUCCUCAUAAUAUUGCUUUCUGUUACCUACUGUGAAAAAUGCUUUACUGAUUCAGAUGGCACAAUUUCAUAGCUAUCCCUGAAUAUAACUGGCCCACCCAAACUAAUACUGUCAAUAUUUUGGACUUUAUACUGCUAGUUUGGGUUGUUCUAAGCUCUCUUUACAUUAUCAUAGGCAUCAUUUUGCCGCUGCAGAUUUCACAUUGUGAAGGUCAUGAGAAAAGUGGGCCAUACUUGACAGUACCUAGGAAGACAGCUGGAAAGCAGGAGUCAGGAGGAGACCACUGAGUUGGGGGCAGGGGACAGAGGGAAGAGUGCAGUCAAAGACUUACUCUUUGACUAAUGAGGCACUAUUAAAAUCUGGAAACGAUCUCAAAUCAAAUACAAAUAUAUUCACAAAGUAAGAGCUCUACACGUACAGCCCAAUUCUUGUGAGAGUUUCCCAAGGACACUUUGCUCCAGAGAAUGUGUGUCCAGUUUCCUUUCCAGUUAGGGCUUUUGAGAGUGAGGAACUGAAUUCUAAACUCACCCAAAGGAAAAGUGACCAACAAAACCACAACCAAGUCAAAAUCACAAACAACAAAUAACUUGGUUAGAAUUUGGAAGCACGAACCUUGGCCCACAGACAAGAACUCUGAAGUGUAUCAGAGUUGAGACUCCAGUCAUAACCAGUCUGAGAAACAGCAUCUGGAAAUGCUAAGAAAUCUCCAGUGCCCCGGGUGAGCAGAAGAUGAACACAAGAAAAACAAGAUUCAGAGGUCACUGGCUUAUCAGAGUGGACAGUGGGUGGAUUCCAGUCUUUGGACAAAACUGUUUUUAAAUCCUCCUGUUGUUGGAUUUGGUGAAGAAGUCUCAAUCACAGAAAAUGCAUUCUAAUAAGGAUUUUUUCCUAUACAGUUUCACAUAUUCAAAUAUGUUUCUUUACAUUUCUUCAAAUUUGAGUGGAAUAAGGAAGCACAGCAUCUAAAGGCACAGAUUUCCAAUUUGAGACCUUCACCAACAAGCUCAGGUAGCUUGAUGUUCUAUGUGGCCAGGACUCCUGCUGAAAUUUCCAGCAUCCCUCAGAAAAGCUGGUGAGAUACCCUUGGGCUGAAUGAAUGAGAACUUUCUGAAGAGCAGGAGAUGGGUGGAGGUCCAGCUGGGAAAACAUGGCAACAGAGGCAGAAAGAGCGCUUCAUGACCAAGAGCUUUAUAAAAAAUAUCUGGAGGCUCAAGGCAGCCACUACAACCUAAGAUCUUACUAAGCAUGAUGUAUGUUCCUACUUCUAGGACUGCCUCCAAUUUACCUGGCCCACAGCCAGUGCCACAUCCUCAGGCGCCCCUGGGGAUGAAUACCAUCACACCACAUCCCACCUCCAAGGCCAGAGUCCCACACUUGCCCCCUCUCCAACCCUGCCUCCCCUACUCCCCACAAUGGAGCACUGGAGAGGGCAGCUUGUUGGGUUGUCCUGAAAGAAAACAAAGUUUGCAAAUCAUUGUAGACAGUUUGUUUUAUAAUAGAUGGGUCAGGCGGGGAAAUGACCAUGGUAAAUUCUCUUCUUAACCACACAUGAACUCAGAGCAUUUUUGAGCUACAACCGCAUAGACUGAGCUCAAGGAACAAAACCAGGCAGUCUGAGUGAGUUUCAGACUAGGACACCAUGAGGAGAUGACUUCCACAGAUAAAUGCAGAGCCUUGAGAUUUUACAUCAGUCCCUCUCUGCCCAAGAUCAUUUUCAAAAUAAUGGAAAAGAACAUUUGAUCUUUCCAUGUUAAUUCUCUAUAAUAUCAUCUCUUAUUGCUAAUGACCACUUGUCACCGUCACUGAGUUUUAAGAACAUUUUAUAUGGAAUGCUGUUUCCCUUAGAAAAGAGAUAAGUUAAGAGGAGAUUAUUCAGAAUUAUAAACUUAUAUAAAUUAUUAUAAAAUUAUUCACACUUUAUUAAGUCUGUAACUUUCCCGAGGAUUGCAAAAGAAAAUAGUAAGUUCCUCUGAAAUACUUAAGUAGUAUUAGUUUUUUUAAAAUUUAGUUAACAGAUUCUUUUAAAAGACACACCCAGAUUGUAUUGGGGGGAUAGAGAUGUACACUUCUUUAUCCUCAACUAUGGUAUCCAUAAUGAAGCCAAAGUUGGCAUACUAUUUUUCUUCAGCAGAUAACACUGUCUCUCUUUUAGCUUCUCUGAUGGAUGUUCUCCUGCCAUUUCCCCUGAGUUGGGCAGUAAUAGAAGUAACAAUUACUGUAGUCACAAAAACCAGAGCCUAACUUUAUUACUCGGUCAUUGUGACUAUUGUCCUGCCACUUUCUCUCUGUCCAAGGACACACAUUUCUAAGGCAUGUAUUUUCAUUACUGGACAGAGAAAAGCCAAUAGGCCAGGCACACACUCCAUACUGAUAUAGCAAUGUCAUGAGCUUUUGAUAAAAAAGAAGCAAAUUAAAGCCCUUUAUGCGUAGGCUGUGUUUUUCCUCAUAGUAACUCAAAGCAAACACCAAGAUGACUAAUGUGUGUGUGUGUGUGUGUGUGUAUAAUCAUUAUUGCAUUAUAUUUUUAUAUGUAAUUAAUACAUAGUAUUUUAAAAAAAUCUUUUAGUAUGUCAUUGGUUCAGAAUGAGUUUUCCAUUUGUCUAGCCAAAGUGGAGGGUGCGUACCCAAGACCAUCUGGGCCUAAUGGGGAAGGAUUUUGAAAGCUCAGCAUUUUCUGGAUGUUCAGAGAAAAGAAAUCAGUUUUCUCAAGUAAAACUUUCCUCUUUUGGGGCACCAGGAAUACAGAGAGAGAUACGUGCUAGGGACUAGCUAAAUGUUUGUUCUUUUUAAUGGAGCCCCAGCUUCCCCUUGGCUGCCUGGCUCUAUUUCACAGGAUACUAGGAGCUCCAAAUCCCUGACUAUAGCCACUCCGAGGUUUAAGUCAUGGGAAAGCAACUCAUGCUCUGUGAUGGCUGCCAGUCCUGCCUCUGCUGCCAUAUUACUGUGUAAACACCGCAAUCAUUUAGGUUGUUACCUUCCCUGUGAAUAGUACUCAUCCCUCAGGAAUGGCUGAAGCUGCCUUUUCUCUGUCUGGAUGUCCCACCAACAUGUGGCUGUCGGCAUCUGAGAGAAGCACCUGUGGGAAGGCGAGCCUUGGGGUAGCAGCAAGCCAGCAGGUCCCUAAGGAUAGACUUGAGAGCUGAAGUCCAGAAGCUAAGUAAUGAAAUCAUACUCUGGAAUGGAGUGGCGGUUCUGACUGAACACAACAGACGAGGUCUAAGUUUGGUUUGGCUGGUGCUCGUCAGCUCGCUGAAAUGACAGUCCUCAUGGAGAAGAAUUUGCCAUUUAUAUAGUUAUCUCUUUGAAGGCAAGGACUGGAGCUUUGAUUUAUCUUGGGAUCCCAAGAGCACCAAGUACAAGAAUUGAAUGAGUCAUGAAUGAAUCUGGUCUGCUCAUUGCUGAUGGCCUUCAUGUUCCAGACAAUCUAGGCAAGUUUGUAAGAAGCACCGAGUACCAGGAACUUUUCUUCUUCUGGGAGCUGAACUGGGCCUUUAAAGGUUAUUUGUAUUGACGAGGCAUAUUUUGUAAGCAUUUAUUUAAUAUGAAUAAGAUGAGGAGAAAAUCCCAACUUACAAUUGAAAAUAAUAAUUACUUGGUGGAAAGAGAGGAUAUUAAAAGAAACAAAGACACUUUCUUUUCUGUCUUUUAAGUUACUAUUUUCUUUAGAGUUAGACUGAGCUGGAAGUUUCCACAGUGGCAGUUUGGUACAUUUGCUCUUUUAGCUUCCCUCCAGAUCUCUCUAUUAGUCCUGACAGGGCACAUGGUACUCUCCUCAUGGGGUAAAUCAAGUUUGUGAGCCUCCACUACCCAAGACCAGGGCAUGGGAUUGGCUUCAUUGUCUAGCUGUGACUCAAUACUUGACACAGAUCUACUAGGAAAUUUCCUCUAUAUUGCCGUCUGUCCUCAGCUCUUUCCUUCCUGUCCACUGACAGCAUUUGAAGGUCACCCUAUUCAUCUUUAGUGCUGGAUGACGGUCCACAUACUAUAGUUACUGAUGUUCAUUCAUAGCUUAUCUCCUUACACCACAAGUCCUAAGUUCUUGGAGAGGGAAGUCCAUUGAUUCAUCUUUAUAUUCCCAUCACAACUAGAUUAGACAUUGAGUAAAUAUUUGUUCUUGAAUGAAUGAAUCAUUCACUGUUUCAACUGUUUUAUGUGUUCAUGCUUCUCUGCAGUCUACUUUCUCAUUUACAAGAUGAAGAAGCUGAACUAGAUUCUGUAAGGUCUUCCCACCUCAGAUUUCCAAGUAUAAUAUGGUUCUUUUUCCUUUACUGACUUCAUGCCCAUCAAAGAGUCAUUCCUGAGAGGUGGUUACAAGGGUUUUAGCCCUAUGCUAAGACAUGGUGGUUUUUGGAUUUAGAUGGAGAGACAGGUAGAACCCUAUGAAAAUAGCCCCAAAUAUGCCGAGCUGCUUAUACUGACAUCUGGAUUGUGUGACAAACCCUACAGAUGAGAGGACAAACAGAAACUCAAUGCCAGGGACACAUGUGUGGACAGUGUCCCUUUAGGAAUUACCUUAUAUUACUCAAAACACCCUGAGUAGGAUUGCAUUUAAAUUGCAUGGGUCCUUAGCAGAUUAUGGCUAUGGAGGAAGGAGAGGGCUUCUUCUCAGCACCACACAGAAAUAUGGCCUAGACCCAUUGUGUUUUGGUAAAUGGUCUGAGGAGGGUCUGGAUACACAAUUGGGUGUCAGCAGGCCAUGAAGAGCCUGCAGUUGCAAAAAAAUACUGGGGCCUUGAGGGAGAGAGCACAGAAAGUCAGGUGUUGGGGACAGAAAAGGGGGAUGAGGAGCUAAUAAUAAGGGCUGGCAUCCUUCAUUCUGCACCUGCAUGUGCUGGGGUUCUGCUGUGGAGAGGGGUCAUGAACAGGCUGGGAUGGAAUGGGAAGUGGAGCCUGGAAGUGGGCUAGAGUCCCUGCCUUAGAACAUGUAAGUACUUCCUGUGGCUUAUCGAUGGGGUGCAUGGAUGUAUGGCAGUGAGUAGGGGGCCAUCUCCCUCCACCAACAGAACUGGCUCUGUCCCUUCCUCUUCCUAAUAGAACUCCCAAGCAUGGGCUUGGGUAAACCCUAAGGAUGCCAUUUGAGGGCUGUGUUAUUGCUGGCCCAUGGCUUCAGGUUCUCAGGUGAUGGAGGCAGCACUCCCUUCCAUGUUAGCCACUCCAGGACCCCACUGGAGAGCGAGACUGAAUGGGGUAAACAGCCAGCGGAAGUGCUGGAGUGGGGUGGGGGUCGUGGGGGACAGGGGCUUUUCAGUUAGCGUGGAGAUACUCUCCUUGAGCCUUUGGCUCUUCACAAUCAAGGCACCAAUUUCAAUUUCUCCAAACCUUAAGACUUCGUGGAAAAAAGGUUGUUAUGCCUGGGAAAGCGGAGUGGGGCUGGGGCAGCUUCAGGAGAUCUCAGGGUGCUGAGCUGAGUGCAUGAUCCCUGUCUCCCACCCCCAAGUCCACAAUCUUAAUGUAGAGGGAGCACUUCUGUCAUGCAUGGUUUCUGUUUGCUAAUUUGUCUGUUUUAAUAAUGCAUUUGAAGUGCCCUUCUCAUUCCCAGAAACCCUUCCUAUGCUGGCAAGGAUUCACCAAAAACAGGACAGCAUGGGAGACCAAACUCAGGAGGUCACAACUUCCCUAUCACAGCCCAGGCUGCAAGCCUGCAGAAGGCUGGGAGCCCUGCUCCAGCCCCGUGGGGGCCUGGCCUAGAGGAAGGAGGAGAGUCAGAGACAGAGGGAAACACCAGGGCCAGGCAGUAGCUGUCCCUAGGCUUAGGUUGUUCUCUCCAGCACUGCCCGGGGCAGGUUCUGGUUGCCUUAAGUCACUUGCAACAUCAGGGAAGUGCCCUUGAAUCUUGGCCUAGGGCUUGCUUUGGGUUUACCCCAGAGGUUCCGUUUGAAAUGCACUUGCACUAAAGGCUUCCUCUUUACAGUUAGUUUCAACAGUGAGUCAAGUUCUCUUCAGUUCUGCAAAUAUUUGGAUUUGGGGCCAGGCCAAAAUACAUGGGUGCGUACGUCACAAAGACUUGUAACAUAGAGUCCCAGAAUUCAAGGGAUUUGCACUGCAGUUGAGGAAACAUGCUCAUUAAAAUAGCAAUAUUUUAUAACUAAUGCUUAAUACUUAUUCAGCCUACAUUCUGCUGUGACACAUACAGUCACUGUCUUCAUCUCCACCAUCUAGUAAGGAGGUAGGAAGAACUGAAGUAAACAAAGAAGGAAGGAACUAGAACAAGGACAAACAGUGAUAUGUCCUGUAAUGAAACAAUGGUGGGAAUCUCUCUUAGACAAAGAGGCAUGGAAGGUCUUUCUGAGGAGGUGACAUUUAAGAUAAGACCAGAAGGAUGGGGAGUGAGGAUUCCAGAGAAAGGGAGGGAAUAGCCUGUGCAAAAGACCUGAGGCAGAGGGAAGCCCUGAAGUAGUUCCAGGAAUCACCAGCAGGCUGAUGGUACCAGGAGGAAGAGGAGGGUGGUGUGAAGGGAAUUAGUGGUGAGCCCUGAGGUGUGUGGACUUCAUUCUAAACUCAUAGGGAAGUGAAGUGGUGACAUAUCCUGGAAUAUGGUUUAAGAUGACCACUCUGUCCCAUGUGGAGAGUGGGCUGGAGGGAUUGUAGAAGCAGCUGCAUGGCGGGAGGGGGGAGGUAGGGGGUGUCAGGGAUGUUUAGACA